rnacentral:rRNA from 1 species
UUUUGUUCGUUUCUGAGAUCGCCGUAAUGAUUAAUAGGGAUAGUUGGGGGCAUUUGUAUUCCGUCGUCAGAGGUGAAAUUCUUGGAUUGCCGGAAGACAAACUACUGCGAAAGCAUUUGCCAAGGAUGUUUUCAUUGAUCAAGAACGAAGGAAGGGGGAUCGAAAACGAUUAGAUACCGUUGUAGUCUCUUCUGUAAACUAUGCCAAUUGGGGAUCGGCACAGGAUUUUUAAUGACUGUGUCGGCACCCGAAGAGAAAUCUUUAAAUGAGGUUCGGGGGGGAGUAUGGUCGCAAGGCUGAAACUUAAAGG